UCAUUUGCAUUGACAUAAUUCCACCCUUCUCAUCUGUCACCACAUCAGGCACUGGGGCAAAACUGGAAGGUGCUGGAAAGUGCUCAGCGGGAACUGCCAAGAAUAAUCAAGCACAGCCUGGAAGCUCCAUGGCCAGCUGCAAAGAGUAAUGUAGCUUUGUACUGUUGAAAAACAAAAGAGAGACUCGAAAUAGUGACUGUUUAUUAGAUGUUGAACUGCUGUUGAGAGUACAUGGACUGGAUGCAAAUAGUCAGCCAUGAUAAAAGCUUAUGUAUUAAUUGUGUUUAAAAUUGUAUAAUUAAAUGAUUCUGGGUGCCCAGUAAUGUGUGGGCUUAUGUCAUAAAGUUUAGUUGUUUUUUUGUACAAAGUGGAAAUAAAUAAUUUCUGUUGCA